UACGUAGGGUGCGAGCGUUAAUCGGAAUUACUGGGCGUAAAGCGUGCGCAGGCGGUCUGUUAAGACCGAUGUGAAAUCCCCGGGCUUAACCUGGGAACCUGCAUUGGUGACUGGCAGGCUUUGAGUGUGGCAGAGGGAGGUAGAAUUCGACGUGUAGCAGUGAAAUGCGUAGAGAUGUGGAGGAAUACCGAUGGCGAAGGCAGCCUCCUGGGCCAACACUGACGCUCAUGCACGAAAGCGUGGGGAGCAAACGGG
rnacentral:rRNA from 1 species